rnacentral:tRNA from 3 species
UCCUCUGUAGUUCAGUCGGUAGAACGGCGGACUGUUAAUCCGUAUGUCACUGGUUCGAGUCCAGCCAGAGGAGCCA